GUUUCUCCCCUAGAGUUGGCUACCUAUAGCUGGUGACAGUGUUUUGCUACUGCUGAGGAAUCCAUAACAAGUCUUUGGCCCAGUAAUCCAUUGCUGAACUUCAUUAACCACAGGAAGACAUUAAGUGAAGGUAAGGACCGGAACAGCCUGGGAAUCACGUGACAGCAGCCUUUAAGUCCCAGGCUCUGGUAUAUUUUAUGCCAGCUCAACUGUGUAUCAACCUCAUCUUCCUGGACUCACUAGAACUGUGUGCCCAAAGGUGCCCUCAACUUUCAGAAGCAAAUACAGAAUGAUAUAAUUCGAUCUGAGAACACCUUUUUGUCUUAUCCGGAGCAUGUCUUAUCUGUUAUGAUUAGGCAUUAAGCAUCCUAUUGUCCUUAAAAUUUCAUGAGAUUCCACCCCUGCUUGCUAGGAUGAUGUCAAAGUGACUUGUCCUGAAUGCUGUUUUCACCCAACAAUACAGCUUGUCUUUUCUCCUAAACCUUGCAAGACAGUCAACCCAGCUAAGGAGAACCCACAGGCUUCAAAUGGUCGGGUAGCCUGGGAUUGCUGCAAACCUUUCUAGAAGUCUUCUGUCUUGCUCUUGCUUUCCUGAGAUUAAAGGGUGGGGACCCUGAGGUCAAGAUUUGUUAGCAAGUCGUCUGCUUGGGGGAAUUUUUUUUUUUUAAUUAGAAAACUCCAGCUGGGGAACAGGAAGUGAAUAGGACCUGGAAGACAGGCUGUACUAGCCAAUGGUUGUCACUGAGCAGCUGAGCACAGUCCUGCUGGGCAGUGCUGGGGUCCAUGUGGAUCGUGUUCCUUGGAGAUGCCCUCCUACAGGGUGAGAGAGCUGGGGUGUGACCCGCCCACUCCUGCCCCCCAUGGUGCUGGGGGCUAGUGGUCAGCUGGGGGGUGAAGAAAUGGCAUAGUGCUGGGCAAUGUCCUCCAGAUUUGAAUCCCCAGACUGUGACCUUCAGCAGGCCAAAGGCAGAGACUCUUCAAUGCAGUGUCCAUAGUGCCAGGCACACAGCAGACCAGAGUAAAUACCCGUGGAAUGCGGGGCUCGCCCAAACCUGGCUCCAGGUCUCUCAGCUGCAUGUUCUCUGCUAGUCCUGUCUGUUCUAAUGUAUUUAGUUCUUGCUUCUAAGUCUUUUGCAUUCCUGAAUUUUGUCCUCUCUCUCCCCACUUGUAUGGUCACUUGGGGGUCCCUUCACCUUCUUUCCAGGUGGCUCUCUAGUGGGGCUGUGAAGCAGAGGUCUCGUGAUUACCAUAGCUCGAAUUUUUAAAGAAAAUAAGACGUGCUCUGAUGCUGAUGAGUGUCUUAAGUACAAGGUGAGGCAGAAUGCUUGAAAUCAGGAUGGUCCUCUCAAUCUUAAGACUAUGAUCUCUGUGUGCAGACCAGGAAGGCACCUGGGAAGAAAGAUGGGUGUGGGUUUGGAAUCAGGAAGACCAACGUGUAGAGAAGACUUUCACUGCUUACUAAGACAAUGACCUUGGGCAUGUUCUGUAACCUCUCUGGGCCUCGGUUUUGCAUAUUUGAAAUGGGAAUAGUUAUAAGACUGACUUCAGGAGGGGUGUAGACAGAAUCAUAAGAAUAAAGGAAAAAACUCCUGGCAUCUGCAAAGCACCCUGCCUCCAUCAUUAGCCUUUUCAUUACUUUCUAAGCUUGCGUUGAUCAACUGCUGUUUACCGUGUGCCUGCAGAUCUACCUGAGGUUCCGUCUAAUCCACACAGAGGGAGAAGCUCACUUUCCCCCAGUUACCUACAUUUGCAAGGACACCUAUUUUUAGAAAGUGAUCCAGGAAGCUGGGGCAAGACAGGCAAGUGAUGUGAAGAUAAUACUAGUUGGGGACAUGUACGAAGCCUUGGUGCCAAGCACUGUUUUAAGCACUUUAACAUAAGAGCUUAUUCAUUCCUAAACAGUUUGAUAAGGAAUAGUGCUUUUGUUGUCCCCAUUUUACACAUGAGGAAACUGAGGCACAGAAAGGUCAGGUAACUUAGUCAAGGUUAUGGAGAUAUCACAGGGGGAAGGGUGGCUGCAAACUCUUCUUGUGUGGCUCCAGUUUUGUGCUCUUAACCCCCAUGUCCUGCAGCCUCUUGGUGAUGCUGUGGCCUCUAUGACUUCUACGUAACCAAAUACUGAUUCACUGCAUGACUUUAGACCUCAGAGUGCCUGUGUCUCCCAGAGAGUUUAAACAGAUUUCUGGGCCCUGCUAACGCUCCUGGUUUUGCCCAUCUGGGUGGGGUCUGGAAUGUGUGUUUUGUAACAAAGUCCCAGGUGACAUUGAAGCUGUCCACAGAACACACUUCGAGUUUCCAAGGUCUCAACACAGGUGAAUUUCCCCCUCCCCUGGGGGACAUUUGACAAUGCCUGGAGAUCUUUGGGGUUAUCACAACUCAGGGGUGCCGCUGGCAUCCAAUGGGUAGAGGCCAAGAAUACUGCUGAAUGUCUACCCUGCCCAGGGAAGACCUCUGCAGACUAAAAAUGAUCUGGCCCCAAGUGUCAAGGGCACCAAGGAGAGGAGCCCGGUGUGGAGCACAGUGCACAAACUUGGACUUGUGCAGGUAUCACCUGAGGGCUGGUUUAAAAUGUGGCUUCCGAUUCUGUAAAACUCCAGCACAUCUGAGUGGCAGCGUUUCCAACAAGCUCUUUCCAGGGAUGCUGGUGUGGCUGACCGAGAGACCCCACUUUGAGUAGCAAAAGUGACAUGGAGGUCUUAGGACAUCACGAACUUCUCAGAAAUGCAACCUGGACAUCUCCUGCAUUAGUUCAGAAGAAAAGAAACUCUGAGUGCGAAUAAUCCUCUUUCAACUCACCCUAUUGCAAGCUUGCCCUUAAAGCAGGGCUGAGACAGCGGGGUCGGGUGGGGGACAAAUGUCCACCCUUCUCUUAGCAGCAGGCAGGGGCCUGCUGAAAAUGAGGAGGGGGCAGAGCUGGGUGAGAACUGCCUCGCUCCAGCCCCCGAGCAUCCAGUGGAGGCUAUUGUUGCCUGGAGUCGUGGCUUCUUUCCAAGAGCCUGCUCUGGCGAUGGGUUUGCAUCUGCCUGACUUUCAGUUCUGCGAAUGGAAGAUGAGAAACUGGCUGCUUGGAACACGGCUGCUCUCUUGGGAGAGGGGUAUGGGAGGAAUGGACGCUGCGCCCAGCCCUCCAGAGACGGCACCCCAGCCCCGGUGAUAAAUGGCAGCAUUAACAAGGUUUGGUUGAGAGGGGACCCACAGAUUUAUGACUUCCUGUGUCCGCCAGCAGAUGUCAUCAUGGCUGACAGAACAGAAGGCCUUUCAAGAGCGAGCUGGGGAGGAGCUAAGAGGAGAAAAUGGAAUCAAAUAUAAGGCAGCAGCCAGAACUACCGUUGGCCUAGGGGGGCUAUUGUCCAUACUGUCAUUUUAGGAAUUGGGGACGUUCUCCAAUAAACCCAGCAUCUGGUCAUGUCUCUGAGGUCCUGCUUCUGAGAUUUAGGCAGAAACUCUCCAAUGAAAGACAAAGUUACUGGCUUCUCUUAAAUGAGAAAAUCUCCAGGGUUUUUGUUCCUGGCCUAUUUGUGCCCUUCAACAUUUUCUUGGAUAAAAUGAGCACUUUGCAUUGAAUAAACAUAUAUUUUAUAUAUUUUACUCUGCAACAUGAUUUUGAAGGGUUUUUAAAUAGAUUCAUUUUACAAAUCAGCAGCUCGUUCUGAAAUUCCUUUGAUAUACAUGUGAUUUUACCCAUUUUUCAAAAUUAUUUUAUAGAAUGUCAUUGAUAUUUUAUGUGCCAGAUUUUUUUUGUGUGUGUGUGUGUGUCUGUGUGGUAUGAAAAAAAUGGCAUACAUUUGGCAUUCAGCAUGGGCCAAGAAACCCAUUUUAGUAUGUACAACUGCUAACACAUGCUAAACAGUAAUUAUGGGUCACAUUUCCACAUUUCCUCCUUUUAACCUGCACCUGAACAUUGACCUUCAUGGAUAAAGAGAACUUUUUUCAAAGUUGACUCUCUGGACAGAUCUUUGGGCUCAGGUGGUCAGUGCUCCAAACUGCAGCCCGAAAGAAACAGAUUCCACAGGCUGGGCUGUCCUUAACUCUGGCCUCCAAAGUCAUUCCCCUUCCUGGCUGUACAACCCAUGAGACUCGCCAGAAACGAACAGUCAUGGAAGACUUUAAGGAGGACAACCACAGGAUCCUCUUUGUUCCUCUUAAAAAAAUAAUAAAAACAAUAACUUCAAGCAAACCCAUGGUCUAGAAACUUCUUCUGUAAUCAAUCUUCUGUGUGUUAGUGGUCAGAAUUUUAUUUGAUUGUGGUUGUGUGUGUGCACGCACGCGCGUUCUAGAGAUUGAACUUGAGGCCUUGCACCUGCUGGUUGAAUGCCCUAGUAUGGGGCUACAUUCCCCAUACUUCAUUGAGAUUUGUUAAAUGAUAUUGUGGUUACAAAUACAGCCACUUUCAUGGUACCAGUUCCAAGCACUUUAGAGUGGCUUUGUAGUGAUGUCCUCACUAACCUGGGCCCUGGGCAGGUUACUUAAAUGAGAAAAUCUCCAGGGUUACUCUAACUUCUGCUCACCACCUGCAUUAUGCUGAGCAGGUGACUUACUGUCCAAACAUGGUUUCUUACCUGUGCAAGGUGAAGGAUGAGUGCGCUCAUCUCGUAGUGGUUUCUUCUAACAAGCAUCAAAGACGGUGUUUGUGAAGCCCUUAGCCACGUGCUUGGCUCAGGGGAGGAGCUCAAUAAAUUAGCUAUUGUUAGAAUGAUUUAUAUUAAACUAUCUUCCUUCUUUGUUAUUUCACAGGUAGACGUGACAACUCUACUGAUUCGUGGGUCACCUGGAAGAGAAAUCCAAUAAUAAGAAGAACCUUAAUUGUUGCUGUCACAUAUCGAACACAUACAAGGUGCCAGACGCUGUGCUAAAUGCCUGACAUGCAAAAUCUAUCAAAUCUAAUUCUUACCACCACCUGAUGAAGCCUGAGUUCUAUCAACUUGAUACAGGAAGAAACCCAGAUCGGAGUUUGUCCAUGAUUUUCAAACUUGAGUGCCUCUGGGCAGCUUGUCAGAACCUACGUCACUGGGUCCCCUCCAGAGCCUCAGGCUCAGCCGGUCUGGCCUAGACCCCAAGAUUUUCAAGUCAGUAAGUUCCUCGCUGCUGCUGCCAAGGCUGCUCUGAGGACUGUGUUGGUGAGACCCUGAUUUCAGGACUUGUUCACAUUAACCUGGAGUUAAACGGCAGGGUAAGAUUUCAAAAUUAAAAAUUUGAGUACACUUAAAAGUACUCUUAACAACCAUCUAUAUUUCUUCAAAUUUCCUAAAACGAACUUUGGAAUUGCCAAUCAUUGCGUUGGCAAAGCGCCUUGGUUCCGGUGCUCCUGCUCCGUGAAUUUCUUUGUGGCAUGGAAUAGUUUGUGAUUCCCUCUUAGGGAAGGAUUUCAGGGCCAUUUUUAGAAGAAGCAUCAGGUUCUUAAAUCAUCACCACCAGCCACUCUUGAGAUUGUCAGCAGUCCUACAGGCACAGAGCAGAAUGCACAUGGGGAGACCCACCCCAGCUGGAAGAGUCAUUAGCAGUUCCAAGAUGGAGCCCAGCAGAGCAAACCACACCUGGAUACCAUCUGUGCCUGAGAGCCGUGGCAUGGCCUUGGUUCCCAUCUGGCUGGAAGGGCUCCCAACACACAGCCCGCUUGGACAUCAGAGGGCUCUGGGGGCCUCUCCUGAAUGCUGCUAAGGUGAGCCACUUGCAAACAGUCAGACCAGGGGACUGUUGGCCCAAGCUGGAAUAAGAACUGGGAUGAGACCUGGCCCACAUUGGAGGGUCUGGGACUAUCGACAGGACUCCAGAAGCACCAGUGGGAGGUAUGAGUGGAGACAAAGGAUGCAAGGAUAGAGCCGAAAUAAAGCCCCAAGUCCCUCAGUGGGUAAAAUAAUUCAUCACGGGCGUCUUCCCUAUUCAGCCGGGAAUGAAAAUUGAAACCUGAAUUCAAAUCCAUGGGCAGUAUAUAUUUCAAGAAAUGUGGACACCCAGAGACUUGAAGGAAACAGCUAAGCUGGGGAAAACACAUGGUACCACUGAGGAGAGGCUGGCUGGUGGCAGAUUGGGAAUCCCUGCAGCCAGGAUGCAAGAUGGAGCAGGAGUGUGCAUACAGGAUUUGCUCCCGGAGCCUGAGACCCCAGUGCUCUCUGUAGAGUAGAACAGCUCUUUUUUGAAGACCCUUCCUCUUCUACAUAUGUGCUAUUUAUGCAUAUAUCUACACACUCAUUCAUUCAUUUGGCAAACAUGUACCGAGUGCAUAUUAUGGGCCAAGUAUUAAUACAGACACCGAGGGUAAAACCACAAACCCCAGUCUCUACUUUCACGGAGCGUACUCUCUCAUGGGAAUCGUGAGGCAAUGUGCAGAAUCAGUAAGGUAGAAUAUCAGGAUACAGAAAGUCACAAGGAGAAAAAUGGAGGGAGGAGCAGAUUUGGGUUGACGGGUAAAGUGGUUGAAAAACAGCCCAUCACCAUCCCCAACUAUAGCACUUACCACCAACAAUGAGUACCCAUUUGUUGCAAAGGAGAGACAUUGAGUCAAAUAAGUUUCAGGACAAAAUGUAAAACUCUGGCAGCACAUAACCCAGAUGAGCCCAGGAGUUGCUAGUUAAGUGGGAGCUCUUCUUUCCCUUCCAGAAUUCAGUCCGUCCAUUCUUUCAGAUACAGCUCAGAUUUUCACUGGGGGAUAUAAUUCUUCCCCCUUUAAUUUCUGUGACUUUGGGGAAGUUGACUCCUCCCGCAAGUCCAGGGCCUAAGCCAAUCAGCAUACUCCCUUCCCCCACUGACCUCAGGGAUUAGUUCUAGAGUAGGGGAGGGUCCCAUAAAGCUGAAUCUCAGAAACCCUGCUUGAGCUCCCUCAAUUACUGAAUCUGGAGGGGAAAAUUGUUACUCGCAUUUAUCUUAUAAAAUGAGGGGGUCUGCCUUAUAAAUGAAGUAAAGAGAGAAGAAGAUAGAUAGAUAGAUAGAUAGAUAGAUAGAUAGAUAGAUAGAUAAUAGAUGGAUGGAUGGAUGGAUGGUGUUUGGAUGACAUCAUUAGUUCUCUGGCUAAACACCCAGAGUAAAUCUGCCCCAUGUCUAGUUAAUUGAGUUAAAACCAUUCUCUUUACAGCUUAGGGCCAUUGGGUUGGGUUUUCUGUAGUUUUAAAUAGAAAGAUAAAAUAUCUAGCUCAGGCUCAGGACAGCCCUGCAGUGUUCCCUCUGUGUGGAUUUCACUGUCAGCCUGGCUUUUCCACAGUGACCACCAGCGACCUGGUUCUUGACAGCACCUGCCAGGAUUCUGUGCUCCUCUUGGUUGCAUUCUGUGGUCUGCACCCUCCUUUGAACCAGGCAGCAAUGCCAGGGAUUGGGUACCAUGGAUCUGUGACGGGGACUCUCUUUCAGGGCCUGGGCUGCUACCGGCCUCAUUCAGAUCACAUUGAGAGUUGGCUCCUCAAAUUAGGGCAUUGUUACUAGAAAAGUGGGGCAUGCUGAGGGGACAACCAGAAAUCUUAAAAAUUCACUUAAGUGUCCAGUUUUCUCCUUCGUCAUCUCACAUUUCCCAACUGCAGAAUGAAAAAGUUGGGAGAGAGUGGUGACUCCCAAGAGAUCCGCCAUGAAGGACCCUUCUCUUGCCUUUCUCUGUCGCCCAGUUUGGCACCAAAGUAAACCAAGUUUGGAAGAUUUUGUCUGUAAUUCCUGCCUUCACCCAUCAGUCACCCACCCACCAUUGCUGUGGAAUGUCCACUAGUCUCCAGUUUUGCUCCAGCCCUAGGGCAAGAGUGGUCCCAGAAGCCGGGAGGACGGUGCUCACGCUAUUCAGUGACGUACAAUAGGGGAGCUGAGCCUGCUUGUGGUUUUCUGUCUGGGAUUAAAAGCAGAACUUUAGUAGAGAGACCUUCAGGCUCCUGGCCCUUCUAUUCUCUUGGAGUAUCCACAGGGGGGUGGGAUACUGGGAGCUGGGGGUGGGAAACUGGGAGCCAGAGAGCAACAGAUUCACAGCUGUCAAGCAACAAGAGGAGAAAGAAUCAGCAAGCUGAGCUGGUGGGAUGGGAAGGACAGUCCAGGUCUGGGGCCGCGAAGGUUUGCACAGUCAGGGCCUCCUGCCGAGCCUGUGCUCAUUUCAUCCAGGUUUUGUCAAGUGAGAGGACCCAGAUCUUCAUUGUUUAAGUCACAGUCAGAAGUGCCGUUGUGUGUGGUCAAAAGCAUUGUUGAUCAAUCCAGUCAGAUCCAAUAGAGGUCCCCACGCAGCUUACAGUCUGCAGAUGACCAGCUAAUAGAUAAUUACAUGUGUCACAAGUAUCUUGGGGAGGAACCACAGGAACUUAUAUCAGGGGGACCUAGUUUGAAGAAACUGCAUUGAAUGAAUAAUGACAUUUUUAAAAUCACUUUAGAGAAUUAGGUAAGGGGUAGGUAGAAUAUUUCUCACUGGACCACAUAGGAAGUAUUUUCCCUUCCCAGGCUGUGCUGGCCUCUGUUGCGGCUCCUCAGCUUUGCUGAUGGGGUGCAAAGGAAGCCACAGACAAUAUGGAA
rnacentral:lncRNA from 1 species